rnacentral:rRNA from 1 species
UUUAAAGAGAGUUUGAUCCUGGCUCAGGACGAACGCUGGCGGCGUGCCUAAUACAUGCAAGUCGAACGAACGGAGGAAGAGCUUGCUCUUCCAAUGUUAGUGGCGGACGGGUGAGUAACACGUGGGCAACCUGCCUGUAAGU